GCAAUGGUGUCUUUAGACACCACCAUUGUUCUCAGAUAUGUUCUC
rfam:Picea glauca, whole genome shotgun sequence.